AGUGACCCAGUUCAACGGCCGCGGUAUCCUAACCGUGCGAAGGUAGCGUAAUCACUUGUUCUUUAAAUGAGGACUAGUAUGAAUGGCACCACGAGGGUUAUACUGUCUCCUCUUUCUAAUCAGUGAAACUAAUCUUCCCGUGAAGAAGCGGGAAUUAAAAUAUAAGACGAGAAGACCCUAUGGAGCUUUAAAUAUAUAACAAAUGCUUCUUUAUCUACACACAUUCAGAUGACCAACUACUAAUUCAGCAUUUUGACUUAUAAAUUUUAGGUUGGGGUGACCGUGGAGCAAAAAUUAACCUCCAUAUUGAAAAAACCUCAUUUUAAGCAAAAAGUUACCACUUUAAGCAUCAUUACACUGACAUUAAUUGACCCAAUAAUUUGAUCAAUGAACCAAGUUACCCUAGGGAUAACAGCGCAAUCUACUUCAAGAGCUCUUAUCGACAAGUAGGUUUACGACCUCGAUGUUGGAUCAGGGUAUCCUAGUGGUGCAGCCGCUACUAAAGGUUCGUUUGUUCAACGAUUAAAA
rnacentral:rRNA from 1 species